GAUGAACGCUGGCGGCGUGCCUAAUACAUGCAAGUCGAGCGAACGGACGAGAAGCUUGCUUCUCUGAUGUUAGCGGCGGACGGGUGAGUAACACGUGGAUAACCUACCUAUAAGACUGGGAUAACUUCGGGAAACCGGAGCUAAUACCGGAUAAUAUUUUGAACCGCAUGGUUCAAAAGUGAAAGACGGUCUUGCUGUCACUUAUAGAUGGAUCCGCGCUGCAUUAGCUAGUUGGUAAGGUAACGGCUUACCAAGGCAACGAUGCAUAGCCGACCUGAGAGGGUGAUCGGCCACACUGGAACUGAGACACGGUCCAGGAUGCUACAGGGGACAGCGGUAGGGAAUGUUCCGCAAUGGGCGAAAGCAUAACGGAGCAACGACGCGUGAGUGAUGAAGGUCUUCGAAUCGUAAAACUCUGUUAUUAGGGAAGAACAUAUGUGUAAGUAACUGUGCACAUCUUGACGGUACCUAAUCAGAAAGCGACGGCUAGCUACGUG
rnacentral:rRNA from 1 species